rnacentral:rRNA from 1 species
GUAAGGAAUAUUGGACAAUGGCGGAGACGCUGAUCCAGCUAUCCCGCGUGCAGGAUGAAGGACCUAUGGUUUGUAAACUGCUUUAGACUGGGGCGAAAAAGUGGGAUUUAUCCUACAUUGACGGUACCAGUAAAAUAAGCACCGGCUAACUCCGUGCCAGCAGCCGCGGUAAUACGGAGGGUGCAAGCGUUAUCCGGAAUCACUGGGUAUAAAGGGUGCGUAGGCGGCUUGCUAAGUCAGGAGUGAAAGGCCACGGCUUAACCGUGGGAUUGCUUUUGAUACUGGCGAGCUUGGAUUAGGACGAGGUUGGCGGAAUGUGGCAAGUAGCGGUGAAAUGCAUAGAUAUGCCAUAGAAUACCGAUUGCGAAGGCAGCUGACUAGACCUAUAUUGACGCUGAGGCACGAAAGCGUGGGGAGCGAACAGGAUUAGAAACCCUGGUAGUCC